rnacentral:rRNA from 1 species
CUUGUCCUACGGGGGGCAGCAGUGAGGAAUAUUGGUCAAUGGCCGGAAGGCUGAACCAGCCAAGCCGCGUGAAGGACGAAGGCGCCAAGCAUUGUAAACUUCUUUUGUCAAGGGACAAAAUCAGGCUCGAGAGCCUGACCGCGGGUACUUGAAGAAAAAGCAUCGGCUAACUCCGUGCCAGCAGCCGCGGUAAUACGGAGGAUGCGAGCGUUAUCCGGAUUUAUUGGGUUUAAAGGGUGCGUAGGCGGCUUGUUAAGUCAGCGGUA